rnacentral:rRNA from 1 species
CCUACGGGUGGCAGCAGUGGGGAAUAUUGCUCAAUGGGGGUAACCCUGAAGCAGCAACGCCGCGUGAAGGAUGAAGGUUUUCGGGUUGUAAACUCCUUUUGUUAGAGAAGUAAAUGACGGGAUGUAUCGAAUAUGUAAUGGACAAUACCGGGCCAGCAGGCGCGGUAAUACGCCGGGUGCAAGGGUUACUCGGAAUCACUGGGCGUAAAGGGCGUGUAGGCGGGUUAGUAAGUCAGAGGUGAAAGCCUAUGGCUUAACCAUAGAACUGCAUUUGAAACUGGGAGUCUAGAGUAUGGGAGAGGUAGGUGGAAUUCGUGGUGUAGGGGUGAAAUGCGUAGAGAUCAAGAGGAAUACCGAUUGCGAAGGCAGCCUGCUAGGACAGAACUGACGCUGAUGCGCGAAAGCGUGGGGAGCAAACAGGAUUAGAUACCCGGGUAGUC